CCAGACUCCUACGGGAGGCAGCAGUGAGGAAUAUUGGUCAAUGGGCUUACGCCUGAACCAGCCAAGUCGCGUGAGGGAAGACUGCCCUAUGGGUUGUAAACCUCUUUUGUCAGGGACGAAGCAAGUGACGGUACCUGACGAAUAAGCCACGGCUAACUACGUGCCAGCAGCCGCGGUAAUACGUAGGUGGCAAGCGUUAUCCGGAUUUAUUGGGUGUAAAGGGCGUGUAGGCGGGAAUGCAAGUCAGGUGUGAAAACUAUGGGCUCAACCCAUAGCCUGCAUUUGAAACUGUAUUUCUUGAGUGCUGGAGAGGCAAUCGGAAUUCCGUGUGUAGCGGUGAAAUGCGUAGAUAUACGGAGGAACACCAGUGGCGAAGGCGGAUUGCUGGACAGUAACUGACGCUGAGGCGCGAAAGCGUGGGGAGCAAACAGGAUUAGAUACCCUCGUAU
rnacentral:rRNA from 1 species